rnacentral:other from 1 species
UCCUGGGGUGUUUGCCAGCCAAGAAGUCCCUGAGCCGAUAAUUUUUAUCCGGCAGUUCUCCGUCAACAAUGUUGUGCAAUUCCGUGCGUCGGAACGCCUGAUUUGUUGCGAGGGCAGCCACCUUGAACUCUUCGGUUCAAGGCCACGUUGGCAGCGGCACUUUGGGACU